GUGGGGAAUUUUGGACAAUGGGCGAAAGCCUGAUCCAGCCAUGCCGCGUGAGUGAAGAAGGCCUUCGGGUUGUAAAGCUCUUUCGGCCGGGAAGAAAUCGCACGCUCUAACAUAGCGUGUGGAUGACGGUACCGGACUAAGAAGCACCGGCUAACUACGUGCCAGCAGCCGCGGUAAUACGUAGGGUGCGAGCGUUAAUCGGAAUUACUGGGCGUAAAGCGUGCGCAGGCGGUUUUGUAAGACAGAUGUUAAAUCCCCGGGCUUAACCUGGGGACUGCGUUUGGGACUGCAAGGCUAGAGUACGGCAGAGGGGGGUGGAAUUCCGGGUGUAGCAGUGAAAUGCGUAGAUAUCAGGAGGAACACCGAUGGCGAAGGCAGCCCCCUGGGCCUGUACUGACGCUCAUGCACGAAAGCGUGGGGAGCAAACAGGAUUAGAUACCCGGGUAGUCC
rnacentral:rRNA from 1 species